ACCCGUCAGCGUUGCCUCGGCGGGCGGCCCCUCCCUGGGGCCUCUGCCUCCCUCGGGGGGUGCCCGCCGGCGUACCAAAACUCUUUUGUAUUUUAGUGGCCUCUCUGAGAAAACAAGCAAAUAAGUUAAAACUUUCAACAACGGAUCUCUUGGUUCUGGCAUCGAUGAAGAACGCAGCGAAAUGCGAUAAGUAAUGUGAAUUGCAGAAUUCAGUGAAUCAUCGAAUCUUUGAACGCACAUUGCGCCCGCCAGUACUCUGGCGGGCAUGCCUGUUCGAGCGUCAUUUCAACCCUCAAGCCCUGCUUGGUGUUGGGGUCCUACGGCUGCCGUAGGCCCUGAAAGCUAGUGGCGGGCUCGCUAUAACUCCGAGCGUAGUAGUAAAAUAUCUCGCUAGGGAGGUGUCGCGGGUUCCGGCCGUGAAAGCCCAUCUUUUACACAAGGUUGACCUCGGAUCAGGUAGGAAUACCCGCUGAACUUAAGCAUAUCAAUAAGCGGAGGAAAAGAAACCAACAGGGAUUGCCCCAGUAACGGCGAGUGAAGCGGCAACAGCUCAAAUUUGAAAUCUGGCUUCGGCCCGAGUUGUAAUUUGUAGAGGAUGCUUUUGGUGAGGUGCCUUCUGAGUUCCCUGGAACGGGACGCCAGAGAGGGUGAGAGCCCCGUAUAGUUGGACACCGAGCCUCUGUAAAGCUCCUUCGACGAGUCGAGUAGUUUGGGAAUGCUGCUCAAAAUGGGAGGUAUAUCUCUUCUAAAGCUAAAUACUGGCCAGAGACCGAUAGCGCACAAGUAGAGUGAUCGAAAGAUGAAAAGCACUUUGAAAAGAGGGUUAAAUAGUACGUGAAAUUGUUGAAAGGGAAGCGCUUGUGACCAGACUUGUGCCCGGCUGAUCAUCCAGUGUUCUCACUGGUGCACUCUGCCGGGCUCAGGCCAGCGUCGGUUCUCGCAGGGGGACAAAAGCUUCGGGAACGUAGCUCCUCCGGG
rnacentral:rRNA from 1 species